GCCAGGUGUGGUGGCGGGCGCCUGUAGUCCCAGCUACUCGGGAGGCUGAGGCAGGAGAAUGGCGUGAACCUGGGAGGUGGAACUUGCAGUGAACCAAGAUCGUGCCACUGCACUCCAGCCUGGGCUACAGAGCGAGACUCCGUCUCAAAAAAAAAAAAAAAAAGAAUCUUGCUCUGUCGCCCAGGCUGGAAUGCAGUGGCACAAUCUCGGCUCACUGCAGCCUCUGCCUCCUGGGUUCAAGCGACUCUUCUGCCUCAG
rnacentral:sRNA from 1 species